ACAUUAUCGGUCUUACUAAUAAAAAAUCACUAUACAUGCGUUAUGACAAGGUGAUAGUAAUUCAGUGAAUAGAGCUUGUACAGGGCAUAAACUCCUCUUUGACCAAUAAUCGAUGAGUAUUGGUUGAAUAACAAAACGACCCUUAUUUAUUGUUACCCUGGCAACCCGCCGUGUUUGAUUGACGUUUGAUUUAAUAAUUUUGAUACGACUCAUAAUUCUAAUGUAAGUUGUAUUUAUUUUAUCAACCAAAGCAAUUAUAUACACAUUUACUCAAUAUACUAAUAACAUUUUAUUAUUUGCAGCUAAUAGAAACUCCAAAACCUCAGACAAAGAGGACUAGAAUUUUACAUAAAAAGCCGCGUUCUGCAGUACAAAAGUUAGAAGAGGCUCAAACAGAAGCGACUCGCCGAAGCUCACGAAAGGGCUAGACAGAAGCAUCUUCUAAGGCUCAAAUUGUUACAGCAGCAAUUAAAUAAAUAAUUAUAUACUUAUAAAAAAAAUAAAACCCCCGUUUUAAAUGAAAUAUAACUUUUUAUUUAUUUCAAGUCCUUAACUAUCCACACCUAUGUAAAUAAAACAGCCUUAAAAAUAUGUUUCAAUAAAAGCAGCUCUAGCAGCUUGUCUAGCCAGAUUGCUUGGGGGCGUCUAGGUUGGCCUUGGUUCUUCUGGAGCAUUCUCAGUGUCAUCAAACGUAACAUCCAGGUCUUCUUUGAUAUCAAUAGCAAUAUUGUGGAGGAUUGCCAGUGCUACUAUAUAUAAUUUGGCAUUUUCUAAUGACACUGAGAAGCCAUGAAGAAGACACCUAAAUCGAAAACCCUCCACCUCUAGUACUCUUUUCGACAUCAGCUCGCACUCUGUCACAGAUCUUCAUAACAUACUUCUUUGAAAAGCGGUAUUUUGUUUUGAAAUCGCCAUGCGAAAGUAAUAACGGAUUGCACCGAGUUUGGUAUGUUCUUUGACUUUCCUUGGAGGCGGCAAAUCUUCAAUCGUAUGUAUUAGCUGCAUAUCAAUAUUAUCUAAAUCUUCUAUUUGAUCUAUAAAAUCUAUUUUCAACAAACACAAAUAUCUACUAACUUAAAUCUUUCCUUGAA